rnacentral:rRNA from 1 species
UGACAUGAGUAACGAUAAAGGGGGUGAAAAACCUCCUCGCCGGAAGACCAAGGGUUCCUGUCCAACGUUAAUCGGGGCAGGGUAAGUCGACCCCUAAGGCGAGGCCGAAAGGCGUAGUCGAUGGGAAACGGGUUAAUAUUCCCGUACUUCUUACAAUUGCGAUGGGGGGACGGAGAAGGCUAGGUGGGCCUGGCGACGGUUGUCCAGGUUCAAGUGCGUAGGCUUAAGAGUUAGGUAAAUCCGGCUCUCUUUAAGGCUGAGACACGACGUCGAGCACCUACGGGUGUGAAGUCAUUGAUGCCAUGCUUCCAGGAAAAGCCUCUAAGCUUCAGAUUGUAAGGAAUCGUACCCCAAACCGACACAGGUGGUCGGGUAGAGAAUACCAAGGCGCUUGAGAGAACUCGGGUGAAGGAACUAGGCAAAAUGGUACCGUAACUUCGGGAGAAGGUACGCUCUUGAUGGUGAAGUCCCUUGCGGAUGGAGCUGACGAGAGUCGCAGAUACCAGGUGGCUGCAACUGUUUAUUAAAAACACAGCA